AGUGAACGCUGGCGGUAGGCCUAACACAUGCAAGUCGAACGGCAGCACAGUAAGAGCUUGCUCUUACGGGUGGCGAGUGGCGGACGGGUGAGGAAUACAUCGGAAUCUACUUUUUCGUGGGGGAUAACGUAGGGAAACUUACGCUAAUACCGCAUACGACCUACGGGUGAAAUCAGGGGAUCUUCGGACCUUGCCCGACUGAAUGAGCCGAUGUCGGAUUAGCUAGUUGGCGGGGUAAAGGCCCACCAAGGCGACGAUCCGUAGCUGGUCUGAGAGGAUGAUCAGCCACACUGGAACUGAGACACGGUCCAGACUCCUACGGGAGGCAGCAGUGGGGAAUAUUGGACAAUGGGCGCAAGCCUGAUCCAGCCAUACCGCGUGGGUGAAGAAGGCCUUCGGGUUGUAAAGCCCUUUUGUUGGGAAAGAAAAGCAGCAGGUGAAUACCCCGCUGUUCUGACGGUACCCAAAGAAUAAGCACCGGCUAACUUCGUG
rnacentral:rRNA from 1 species